AACGAACGCUGGCGGCAUGCCUAACACAUGCAAGUCGAACGAGACCUUCGGGUCUAGUGGCGCACGGGUGCGUAACGCGUGGGAACCUGCCCUUAGGUUCGGAAUAACUCCCCGAAAGGGGUGCUAAUACCGGAUAAUGUCUUCGGACCAAAGAUUUAUCGCCUUUGGAUGGGCCCGCGUUGGAUUAGCUAGUUGGUAGGGUAAAAGCCUACCAAGGCGACGAUCCAUAGCUGGUCUGAGAGGAUGAUCAGCCACACUGGGACUGAGACACGGCCCAGACUACUACGGGAGGCAGCAGUGGGGAAUAUUGGACAAUGGGCGAAAGCCUGAUCCAGCAAUGCCGCGUGAGUGAUGAAGGCCUUAGGGUUGUGAAGCUCUUUUACCCGGGAUGAUAAUGACAGUACCGGGAGAAUAAGCUCCGGCUAACUUCGUG
rnacentral:rRNA from 1 species